rnacentral:lncRNA from 1 species
UGCAGGUAUUAUAUCACAAGAGGAAAGAUUGCUUCAAAAAUAGUUAAAUAUCCAUUUCUUAAUGACUAUAAACGAGCAGUUAAGGAAAUUGACGACAAAGAGUUUAUGAAUCUUAAAUUUGGUAUUAAUGAGUUGAAAAGCAAUUAUUUACUUAUAUUGGAUUUGGUGUCAAAGAAUUAUGAGAAAAUAAAGAAACCUCGUUCUUCCAAUAAUCUUAAUGCGAUGUACUAGUUCUUGAUCAUUCUGACAAUUGCAUUUAGUCUGAUGUAAAUAGUCAACGUUGAGUGUUGUUUAGAUUUUAAAGAUAAUUGUUCAGAAAA